GUCGAACGAGUUCUGAUUAUUGAAAGGUGCUUGCAUCUUGAUUUAAUUUUGAACGAGUGGCGGACGGGUGAGUAACACGUGGGUAACCUGCCCUUAAGUGGGGGAUAACAUUUGGAAACAGAUGCUAAUACCGCAUAAAUCCAAGAACCGCAUGGUUCUUGGCUGAAAGAUGGCGUAAGCUAUCGCUUUUGGAUGGACCCGCGGCGUAUUAGCUAGUUGGUGAGGUAACGGCUCACCAAGGCAAUGAUACGUAGCCGAACUGAGAGGUUGAUCGGCCACAUUGGGACUGAGACACGGCCCAAACUCCUACGGGAGGCAGCAGUAGGGAAUCUUCCACAAUGGACGCAAGUCUGAUGGAGCAACGCCGCGUGAGUGAAGAAGGCUUUCGGGUCGUAAAACUCUGUUGUUGGAGAAGAAUGGUCGGCAGAGUAACUGUUGUCGGCGUGACGGUAUCCAACCAGAAAGCCACGGCUAACUACGUGCCAGCAGCCGCGGUAAUACGUAGGUGGCAAGCGUUAUCCGGAUUUAUUGGGCGUAAAGCGAGCGCAGGCGGUUUUUUAAGUCUGAUGUGAAAGCCCUCGGCUUAACCGAGGAAGUGCAUCGGAAACUGGGAAACUUGAGUGCAGAAGAGGACAGUGGAACUCCAUGUGUAGCGGUGAAAUGCGUAGAUAUAUGGAAGAACACCAGUGGCGAAGGCGGCUGUCUGGUCUGUAACUGACGCUGAGGCUCGAAAGCAU
rnacentral:rRNA from 1 species